AUUGCACGUUCGGGUUCGCCAUUUUGAUUUUGCUAAUUAUAUAUGCAUGUCAAAGGUCAAUCGGGGAUUGUAAACAGCAAUGGAUACCUGCGUAACUCAUGAAGUUGUAAACAGCAGUUUAUUUUGAUUCAUAUUUCAUGACUUCGAUAUUUUAUACAUAUUAGUAUAAACAUAAUGUAUCCCGGAGAUCAAAGUUAUGCAUUAGAUUGUUGUUCUCUCUGGAAAAUUAAGGCUUAACAAACGUUGGUGACGUAACUGAAAAACAGCUGACAGCGUUUGGGUCUGUUUUGAGAAAACAAGUGGAACUGUUAUUAUGUGUUAUACUGCUCCUGUUACUCAGGCCUUGGACAAUCUUGCAAUCAUGGAGCAGGUUUGCCUUUUCAUGUUGAAUCUGCAAACAGACUGGGAAAAACAUCAUGUCACAUGUGCCUCAAGCUCUGGAAUGUGUAUGUUGGUUUUACCGACAGACAAAAAAUCUCCAACCUUCAGAAAUCAAGGACAUGAAGUUUAAAAUAUCAAAGCAUGGUAAAGCUUGAAGUAUCAAGACCACUUGUUGGGAAGGAUUAAAAGCAAACUAUGAUGUUAUGCCUCAGACAACUAGAAACACAUCUGAUGAGAACAUACAAAAGACCCUUUUAACCUCCCUGAAGGAUGCUUUU